UGUAGAUCAUGGAAUUCCAAAACAACUAUAAAAUAUAUAGUAAUAUUACUAUUGAAAUGAGUUGAACAAACUAUAGUUAUUCGACAAAUUAUAUCAAUAUUGCACGAUCCAAAUCAUUUGCGAUGUUUGUGCUAUUGCUUAAAUAACGUACGAUCUACUGCAUGUGGUUAACAAAUGAGGACACACAGAAAACGUAGUGUACUGAUAUAUAAAUUUGAAGAGGACAUCGGGAAGUAUUAUCGUAAAUUAUUUCCGUUCAUUAUUUACUACAAUUUUAAAAAUAAAUCAUAUACAAUUUGUAUUCCGGAAGAAACUGCACGAAUAUGUUUGAAAAAGUAAUAAUAAAUGUAGGUGGUCAAAUAUUUAUUACUAAAAGGAGCACUCUUCAACGAUAUCCAGAUACAAAGUUAUCAAACGUCUCUGAAACCUGUGAACAUUUUGAUGAAACUACUGAAGUGUACUACUUUGAUAGGAAUCCAUUGAUAUUCCAAUCGGUACUAGACUAUUAUCGAACUGGAAAACUUCAUUUUCUGUCUAACAUCUGCGCAGAACAAAUUCGUGAUGAGCUUGAAUUUUGGGAAAUAUCAACCACUGAUCUUGGCACAUGUUGUUGGAAAUAUUUCUAUACCGUUGAUAGUGACUUGAAAACCUGCAAUGUUAUCGACAAAUACUUUUUUCAAAACAAGUGUUUUCUUUACAGUUCGAAAAGCCCUCUGAUAAAUAUCAAAAACAGGAUAUUGAAUGUACUGGAAAAUCCAAGGUCAUCGAAAGUUGCAUUAGUAAGUUUUUACUGUAGUUAAAAAUAAAGUUUGAGACAUUUUGUGGAUAAAUUUAACGAAAUAAAAACAAAAGUCAGAGGCUGGAACCUUGUAGUCGAUUUAUAGUCUUAAUAGUAUUCUUUGGAAUUCUUGUACUAUAACAAUAUAUCAAAAACAAUGUGGAGGUUGCUGUUCAGACAAUAAAAACACCUUCGUACCACUUAGAUAACAAAAACAAAUCUCAUUAUCAAAAAAUCAAGCGUAAUAGUUGUUACUUCUUGUUUAUAUUAUUUGGUGUAUUCUCCUGAUAAAUAUUUAGCCAACGCUACGUUUAUGUUUUUUUCUUAAUUGAUGCUUUACUACUACAGAUAAAAAAAAAAUACUCAAGUUUUUCAGUUACAUAUUUUUAACAUUAAAUUUAUUAUUAUAUUGUUUUUUAGGUAUGGCAGAUAUUUUACCUGAGUGUUGUGUGCCUAGCGAUACUUGUAUCAGUAAUACAAUCAUUUGAGUUGACUGGUAUAAAAACAAAGGAACAUAAAAAUGUUACAGCAGAGGAAAGCAUGACAGAACGUCUAACUGAUCACGACAACUGGAUUGGCGUUGUAACUCACAUAUGCAACGUGAUUUUCACAUUAGAAACAGCGCUACGUUUAGCAACUUGUCCGUGCAAAGUAGAAUUUUUUCGAAGCUUUUUAAAUAUUGUUGAUAUCAUGUCUGUAGUUGGAUAUUUUGCGCACAUUAUAGUUAGUGCCUUACCAGAUUCAA
rnacentral:lncRNA from 1 species